rnacentral:rRNA from 1 species
CACCGGCAGCUCUAGUGGUAGCAGUUUUUAUUGGGCCUAAAGCGUCCGUAGCCGGUUUAAUAAGUCUCUGGUGAAAUCCUGCAGCUUAACUGUGGGAAUUGCUGGAGAUACUAUUAGACUUGAGAUCGGGAGAGGUUAGAGGUACUCCCAGGGUAGAGGUGAAAUUCUGUAAUCCUGGGAGGACCGCCUGUUGCGAAGGCGUCUGACUGGAACGAUUCUGACGGUGAGGGACGAAAGCUAGGGGCGCGAAC